UAGGGAAUAUUGGGCAAUGGAAGGAAUUCUGACCCAGCCAUGCCGCGUGCAGGAUGAAGGCGCUCUGCGUUGUAAACUGCUUUUAAAGAGGAAGAAAAUGCCCUGUUUACAGGGUACUGACGGUACUUUUGGAAUAAGCACCGGCUAACUCCGUGCCAGCAGCCGCGGUAAUACGGAGGGUGCGAGCGUUAUCCGGAAUCACUGGGUUUAAAGGGUGCGUAGGCUGUAUGAUAAGUCAGUGGUGAAAUCUCAUCGCUUAACGAUGGACUUGCCAUUGAUACUGUUGUACUUGAAUAGAGUUGAGGUAUGCGGAAUGUGACAUGUAGCGGUGAAAUGCAUAGAUAUGUCAUAGAACACCGAUUGCGAAGGCAGCAUACUGGACUUUUAUUGACGCUGAGGC
rnacentral:rRNA from 1 species